GUAGAUUUUGGCGAACUUGAAACCUGAUUUUGGAGACGUGUAUGAAGCGGAAAAGGUCAGCAGACAGGUGGACGUGAUCCUUAGAAGCUCUACCAGCCGUACUUGACAGCGCUCCAGUUGUUCCGGAGCCUCACUCCAGCGGUACUAUUUUAUGCAUAUACAUUCGGGCUUGGUAGCACCCCGGCCCUUUCUAUGUAUAAGUGUACUAUGUCUAGAGGCUCGUAGACAGAUACGUACAGUCAGUCAGGUACAGAUAUAUGUAUAGUGUUUUGGCAUGUUAAUAUUGUUGUACAAGGUAAUAACGGAGUUUAUUAGUUUAUGUUCAAGGAAAAAAAUGGCUCGGUUUACACGGCUUGCUAAGAGGUACAGGUAAUACGAUAGAUAAGGGGUGCUCGGUACAAGUAUCGGGUACUCGUCACGGCCCCUAGUCGGGUCGUGACAAUAUAUCUCAUUCCAUGGGUUCAUGCAUGCUAGUUUAUGAUAUAUUAUACUAUUUUCAAGAAAAUACUAUACAUGUUUUACAAGUUAAUGCAAGCAAGCUAUAAUUUAUGAUAUCCAUGUACAAGCAAGUUAUAUUCAUGAAAACCAUGGGCAGCAAGUGCCACUUAUUUUACAUGUUCAUGAUUUUGGGAGUUGCUUUAAUUACCGAGGAAAGCUUCAGAUAGCCUGAAACUACGUAGCCACCGUAGGAUGAGGAUCGCUCUACCCAUGUCCCGGACGAUCUCUCAUAAUGACUGGAUCCUUUCAUAUUUUAUUAAAUCUCAUGUUUCCUGGCAAGGACUGAGUGUUCUGCUGGCGGGACGCAAGCACCAGACCAUGGAUCGGUUAUAAGUUAUUGCUCUCCCUACUUAUGAUAUUUUUACCAUGUUUUAUAUAUAUGUAUGUAUUCAUGUUCAUGACCAGGUUUCAGUUCCUAUCAUUAUUAUUUCAUAUCCCAUUUUAUUUCAUUCAGUUGCUUUACAUACCAGUACAUUCUAAGUGUUGACGUCCCCUUUCUAUUGCCCGGGGGCCCUGCAUUUCACGAUGCAGGUACUGAUAUACAGGACGACACAUCUGCUCAGUAGGACAGCAUUCGUAUCAGCUUAUUGGUGUGCCCCAUCCAUUCGGGGUUUAGUCAACUUUUGUUUUAUGAUUAGUUAUGCAUCUAAGGUAUGCUGGGGGCCUUGUCCCAGUAAGUAUGUUUUCCAGUCAGACUCAUGAUAGAGGUUUCAUAGACUAGACAAGUCAGUUAUGUUAUGUCAGACAUUCGGGGUAGUAUAGCCAUUUUGGCUCAUUCAUGUUAUUUUCGCACUCAUGUUUAAACAAGUAUUUUUAUUAA